UCACAUCUUCACUCACAACCUCAUAGCUUGAGUGAGCUCUACUGACACUCUGGGGGAAUCUUCAUAGCUAAAUACAUGACUUUUUUUGAGCCCAUCAAUCUCUAAAAUUCUGAGGAUCUUCCCUGUGUGAUUGUUCACUUCAGAGGUCUCAUCCCUACUACUCCCCAUUCUCUUGACCUCAUUUCUAGGCAUCUUUUCUUUCUCAAAUUAUUGAUUAUGAAUCUUAAGGAGGGGAAAAUCCAACCCAGGACAAUGCAUGCAAAGUGAGCUUUCAACUUAGAUAACGUUUCUAAUGAAGCAGAGGCCUAGAUUUCUGGCUUUGGAAGGAGGAUCUACCUAAAGGAUUCCAUUGUGAACCCAGGUCUCCUGAAAAUGGCACCUUGGUUUCAAGUCACUUUUGGGUGAGGUAUGUAGCAGGGAUGAAAUAGCUAUACCAGGUGACAUCAGCACAUGGACAUUCUACUGUAUCCUGGAGAGCCCUGGCAUUCCAUGUGAUGUCACCAGUGUUGUGGCAACCCCAACUGUCAUUGGGGCAUUUAUGCAGUGUCUCGUGUUUCACCUACAGACAUGCUGACUAGACUGAACAGGAUUCUUGGGAGACAGGAUGGCAAGCACAGGGAGACCAAAGGGAGGCAGAAGGAAGAAGGCCUUCAGUCUCCAUGUCACACAUCAAGAAAUAAAUGGUCCUGGGGAAAGCGCAGGACUACUAGGAAAACAUCAUCCACACCUGUCUUCCUCACUGAGCAGGAGCAGCAGGUGAACCAAGUGGAUAAACUGAUCUUUCAGCUACAGAUGAUGACCAAUGAGAGGAAUGAACUACUUGAAUUCCUGGCCCUUUAUAACAACAACGAGUUGAACAACAGGUAUUCAUCAUGCUGUGUUUUCUGGCUGAAAUCUGAGAUUGAGAUGCUGAAAACACAGCAUAAGAAGGAGAUGUCAGAUGUAAAGAAAUUCCCCGACAAGAUUUGUGAGGCCUCGUACAAGUGCAAGGAGCUGAGUGAGCAGACCAACUCCUACCGCACCCUCUACAGUCAGCUUCUUAGUGAAUGGACUCAGCUAAAGGAAAAAGUGAGCAUGUUGAAAGAGGACAACAGAGAGCUGGAGAGAUGGCUCAGAGGUUAAGAGCACCGACUGUUCUUCCAGAGGUCCUGAGUUCAAUUCCCAGCAACCACAUGGUGGCUCACAACCAUCUGUAAUGAGAUCUGGCUCCCUCUUCUGUUUACAUAAUAAAUAAAUAAACCUUAAAAAAUAUUUUAAAAAAGAGGACAACAGAAAGCUACAUGGGGAGCAGAUUUUACUACAAGAGUCCUGCGAGGAGGCCAGGAGGCUCUGUGAGGAGGCUCAUGAGAAGAUCUAUGACCUCUGCACAAAACAGCAGCAGGAACAUCAAAGACUUGAGGAAGAUUUUCAGUCCCUGUUGAAGCAGAAGGAGCUGCUCAUCCGGCAAAGGGACUUGGCAGCAAAGCUGCAGCAUCACUUCACUGUGUCCCAGAUGAGCACCUCUUAGAAAAACUGAGAAGGCUGGAAGAAGCCAGAGACACCUUGAAGGCAUGACAUUCUACACUCCAGGUUCAAGGCCUCCUCAGAAAAUGCAUUUCAAACCUGUUUUCAGCUUUGAACUCACUCGCGAGGCAAAUAUCAACCUUCCAUCAGGUGAUCCAGCCACAAUCUGAUCCACAUCUGGCUCACUAUUCCUAGAGAAUAGAGUGUAUCACAAUAAGUCUGAGACACAGAGAACAUAACACAAAUUACUAAGAACCCUGAC